UACAAAGGCCUUCAAAUUCAGAGAGCAAAGUUCAGAGCAGGUUAAAGUGAACCAUUACCUUGCAGAAUCCUUCACUAGUGUUGGAUAUAUGCUUGGUGCACCAAUGCUAACAUAACCGUCCUUGGGAGCAUUUCCACUGUCAACAGGCAUUGCCUCCCUAGGAGUGUAGCCAAUUUGGGAGACUCCAGUUCUGCCAUUCUUGUAGUGCGAUUUGGAACUGUAGGAAGAGAUUGGGAUGACACCCGACUGUUCAACAAUGCUGGCUUGAGGCACCAUCUUCAGUGCUUUCGUAGUGCUUCUGCUGAGAAUUUGGGGCCAGUUGCUGCUGGGAAAUUUGGGCUACAUGCCAAAAUUGCUGAGGAAUGGGGUUGGGUUGCUGCUGGGCCAUUUGAGCUGGAUACCUCACUUGCUGAGGCUCGACUGUCAGUUCCUUCUGCUGCUGGGGAAAUUGAGAUGGAUGCCACACGAGCGGAGGAUGCUGGAGAAUGGCGGCCAGAUGAUUCUCCUGAUGGAGCAUUUUAGCUCGAUACCACAUUUGCUGGGGCAUGGCGGUCAGUUCCUUCUGUUGAUGUUCAGUGGCCGGUUGCUUCUGCUGCAGGGGCAUUUGAGCUGGAUGCCACGAUUGCUCGGACGUGGUGGGUGGUUGCUUCUGCUGCUGAGGUUCAGUGGCUGUUCGAUUCUUGGACAUUUGAGCUGGAUGCCACACCUGCUGAGGUUGCUGAGCUAUGGGGGCCAGUUGCUUCUGCUGGGGAAAUUGAGCUGGAUGCCAAACUUGCUGUGGCAUGGCGGUCAGUUCCUUCUGCUGAGCUUCAGGGGCAGGUUGCUUCUGAUGCAGGGGCAUUUGAGAAAGAUGCCACACUUUCUGGGGCACGGCGGUCGGUUGCUUCUGCAGUGUGUGAAAUGGAUUCCACACAUGCUGGGGCAUGGCAGUCGGUUGCUUCUGGGGCAUUUGAGCUGGAUGCCACACUUGCUGGGGCACGGCGGUCGGUUGCUUCUGCUGUAGGGGCAUUUGAGAAGGAUGCCACACUUGCUGGGGCAUGGCAGUCGGUUUCUUCUGGGGCAUUUGAGCUGGAUGCCACACUUGCUGGGGCACGGUGGUCGGUUGCUUCUGUUGCAGGGGCAUUAGAACUGUCUAUCACAGUAUAAAGAAUACUGUUUUACAUACGUCUUGUCAGUUCUCUGUUCUGCCCUGAGCCCGUAUAUACGAAAGUUGCAUUUGCCAUUUAUUACUUAGCUAACAAAAAAUACAUAGUAUAAAAUCGGUGACUCAUUGUUAUAUUUAUCCUGAUACCAAAUUCGAAUUUACGCAACUCUAACAAUGGUUCGUCAGGACCUCCAACAGCCGAAGCUAAGUAGUAACAUUAACAUGAUGCCUUCUAAUUGCAGUCGCUGUACUCAUAAUAUACAGGAGAACGAUCGCCUUACGGCGAGGAUAGCUGUGCUACAAGCCCAGCU
rnacentral:lncRNA from 1 species